GGCUUGGAACUCAGCGCACAGAGCCUUCAGUUUGGAAAAAGGCAUCCUUUCACCGUUGGUCACAGAGAGCUUCUUUCCAGAUCUCUUGCCCAAGGAGAAGAGGCUUACAUUUUUGAUGCGGUCCAGUUCCGCCUCCAGGCUCCUCAGCUCUCUCUCUAAGUUAGCCAGCUUAGUCUCCAUAACUGCAAAGCAACGGGAGAAGGGCAUAUAUUGAGAGAAAGACCCUAAAUUCAAGAACAGAGUAUUUUGGGGGGAAUGAAAGCUUAUUAAGAAGUAUGCUAAUUCCAGAAAAAGAAGAAAAAAGGAAGCAAAAAACAAAAACAAA